AGAGUUUGAUCUGGCUCAGGAUGAACGCUAGCUACAGGCUUAACACAUGCAAGUCGAGGGGCAGCAUUCUUCUAGCAAUAGGAGAGACGGCGACCGGCGCACGGGUGAGUAACACGUAUCCAACCUACCGAUAACUCUGGAAUAGCCUUUCGAAAGAAAGAUUAAUACCGGAUAGUAUACGAAUAUCGCAUGAUAUUUUUAUUAAAGAAUUUCGGUUAUCGAUGGGGAUGCGUUCCAUUAGUUUGUUGGCGGGGUAACGGCCCACCAAACCUUCGAUGGAUAGGGGUUCUGAGAGGAAGGUCCCCCACAUUGGAACUGAGACACGGUCCAAACUCCUACGGGAGGCAGCAGUGAGGAAUAUUGGUCAAUGGGCGCAGGCCUGAACCAGCCAAGUAGCGUGAAGGAUGACUGCCCUAUGGGUUGUAAACUUCUUUUAUAUGGGAAUAAAGUUUUCCACGUGUGGAAUUUUGUAUGUACCAUAUGAAUAAGGAUCGGCUAACUCCGUGCCAGCAGCCGCGGUAAUACGGAGGAUCCGAGCGUUAUCCGGAUUUAUUGGGUUUAAAGGGAGCGUAGGUGGACAGUUAAGUCAGUUGUGAAAGUUUGCGGCUCAACCGUAAAAUUGCAGUUGAUACUGGCUGUCUUGAGUACAGUAGAGGUGGGCGGAAUUCGUGGUGUAGCGGUGAAAUGCUUAGAUAUCACGAAGAACUCCGAUUGCGAAGGCAGCUCACUGGACUGCAACUGACACUGAUGCUCGAAAGUGUGGGUAUCAAACAGGAUUAGAUACCCUGGUAGUCCACACAGUAAACGAUGAAUACUCGCGGUUUGCGAUAUACAGUAAGCGGCCAAGCGAAACCAUUAAGUAUUCCACCUGGGGAGUACGCCGGCAACGGUGAAACUCAAAGGAAUUGACGGGGGCCCGCACAAGCGGAGGAACAUGUGGUUUUAAUUCGAUGAUACGCGAGGAACCUUACCCGAGCUUAAAUUGCAUUUGAAUAUAUUGGAAACAGUAUAGUCGUAAGACAAAUGUGAAGGUGCUGCAUGGUUGUCGUCAGCUCGUGCCGUGAGGUGUCGGCUUAAGUGCCAUAACGAGCGCAACCCUUAUCUUUAGUUACUAACAGGUCAUGCUGAGGACUCUAGAGAGACUGCCGUCGUAAGAUGUGAGGAAGGUGGGGAUGACGUCAAAUCAGCACGGCCCUUACGUCCGGGGCUACACACGUGUUACAAUGGGGGGUACAGAAGGCAGCUACCUGGUGACAGGAUGCUAAUCCCAAAAGCCUCUCUCAGUUCGGAUCGAAGUCUGCAACCCGACUUCGUGAAGCUGGAUUCGCUAGUAAUCGCGCAUCAGCCAUGGCGCGGUGAAUACGUUCCCGGGCCUUGUACUCACCGCCCGUCA
rnacentral:rRNA from 1 species